GUGGGAGCGGGCUUGCUCGCGAAUACGGUAUGUCAGUUACAGAUAAAUUGACUGACCCACCGCAUUCGCGAGCAAGCCCGCUCCCAC
rnacentral:misc_RNA from 1 species